rnacentral:ncRNA from 1 species
AUCUUCAGGGAAAGGUGCAAUUCCUUAACCGGCGGUAAAGUCCGCGAGUCUAUUUGACUGAAUUGGUGAAAUUCCAAUACCGACAGUAAAGUCUGGAUGAAAGAAGGUU